rnacentral:rRNA from 1 species
AACGAACGCUGGCGGCAUGCCUAACACAUGCAAGUCGAACGAGAUCUUCGGGUCUAGUGGCGCACGGGUGCGUAACGCGUGGGAAUCUGCCCUUUGGUUCGGAAUAACAGUUGGAAACGACUGCUAAUACCGGAUGAUGACGAAAGUCCAAAGAUUUAUCGCCAGAGGAUGAGCCCGCGUAGGAUUAGCUAGUUGGUGUGGUAAAGGCGCACCAAGGCGACGAUCCUUAGCUGGUCUGUGAGGAUGAUCAGCCACACUGGGACUGAGACACGGCCCAGACUCCUACGGGAGGCAGCAGUGGGGAAUAUUGGACAAUGGGCGAAAGCCUGAUCCAGCAAUGCCGCGUGAGUGAUGAAGGCCUUAGGGUUGUAUAGCUCUUUUACCCGGGAUGAUAAUGACAGUACCGGGAGAAUAAGCUCCGGCUAACUCCGUGCCAGCCGCCGCAGUAA